AGCGAAUAGACUACCCGGGUAGUCCCAGCCGUAAACGACUGCUCGCUAGGUGUCAGGCAUGGGCGCGACCGUGUCUGGUGCCGCAGGGAAGCCGUGAAGCGAGCCACCUGGGAAGUACGGCCGCAAGGCUGAAACUUAAAGGAAUUGGCGGGGGAGCACAACAACGGGUGGAGCCUGCGGUUUAAUUGGACUCAACGCCGGACAACUCACCGGGGGCGGACAGCAAUAUGUAGGCCAAGCUGAAGACUUUGCCUGAAUCGCUGAGAGGAGGUGCAUGGCCGUCGCCAGUUCGUACUGUGAAGCAUCCUGUUAAGUCAGGCAACGAGCGAGACCCGUGCCCACUGUUACCAGCAUAUCCUUCGGGAUGAU
rnacentral:rRNA from 1 species